CCGGACUCUGAGAAGAUGGCUGUGGGGCUGUUAUGACUACAUCCAUCGGGUUUUUGCCCUCAGGACACUUCCAGGUAAGUGGUGAAGACCAGCAAGAAAAGGGCACUUCAGAGCCACCAUGGAACAUGAUGUCCUUGUGUUAUUCGGGGCUUACUAGAGACGCAGAAUCCAUAAGAAAAUUAUGUAUGUAUAUGCCUCACUGUUUACUACAAAGUGAGUAGUAUCAAGACCUGUGAGUCAGUAAGAAAGGACGCAGUGUUCUCCUGCCUGCCCAGAGGCCAGUGGAUGUAAGACCCAGAAAGAGGCAAGAUUUCAAGUCAAGUUCAUAGGCCAGAAUAAAGCUGAUGGUUCCAUCCAGGGACUCUUAAGAAGGAUGAAGUCUCUCUUCCAAAAGAGUCAGCCUUUUUUAUUCCUCUUCAGGACUUCAUCUGAUGGAAGAUGAAGGUUUUUAUACUAAGGAGAGCAAGCCGCUUCCAUCAGUCCACUGGUAAAUUUCAUCCAGAAAUACUCCAGUGAACACAGCCAGGAUAUGAUUGAUAGAUCCUUGGAACCCCAUUUCCCAGCCAAUAGAGACACUGCAGAUAUAAUAUGCAUUGUGAGAGCAUGUAGGAGGCCGCCUAGAUGGGCAGGGUGAUGAGGAAGAAAUAACACUGAAUAGGCUUUGUGUGACAAUGCUUUCCAAGUUCUAGCAAGAACCUCUGCACUGAUAGCUCCAACUCCUUGACCAUGUGUGUAUAAAACUAGCCAGCACAAUGGUGUGAUGUUUGGGAUUGAACCCAGGGCCUCACCCAUGCCAGGCAAGUGCUGCACCCCUGAGCUACAUUCCUGCUCUUCAGUUCCUACUUGGUGUGGAACACUUACCUACCGCUGUUUGUUCAUCCAUCAAGAGACCCAGUAUUGAGACAAAGGUAAACUAGGAUGGCCUCAUGCUUCAUGUAGCACAGACGCCGUGGCCGCAGAUCAAAGGGGACAUGUGGAGCCAGAGGACCUAAGGCAGCCCUGCACAGGGCGCUUCAGGAGAUCUUGGUCCAGGAGUACCUGAGAGGCAGCCCAGGCACCCACAGUUCUGUUCACACACCCCUGGUUGACGGAAGGACAGGAGGAAGACAAUGUCUGUGCCAUGCGGCACUCAGACUUUGGUUGUGAAGCUUGCUGGCUGGGUCUGCAUCGUUUCCAUCUUUGGAUACUGUGUUUGUCACUUGUCUUGUGGCUGUGACCACAGAUCCAAUAGAAGCAACUUAAGAGAGGAUUUUUGUUGUUGGGGGCUUUUGCUCUUUUGGGGGGCCUGCCACCCAGCUCCCAAAUAAAUCACACACAGAAGCUUUCAGAGACUAUUGUCUUAGGUCUUAGGGAGGGGUAGCAAGGUAUAUUUUCUAUAGAUGAUCACCACAAUAUGUCCCAUCUCACAAGCCCUUACAAUGCAUGACUCUUUAUUCUAAAAGAGAAGCAGGGUCUAUGUCCCCUCUCCUGGGCCUGGGUAGGCCCUGUGCUGUGAUGUUUGUUUGUGGCCCUGGAGAUUGAACCCAGGACCCUAAGGAUGCUAGACAAGCACUCAACAAUUGAGCUACAGCCCCAGCCAAAGGCAGUAGCUCUCAAAAGGCUCUUAAGGAGCUCUGCUUUUAGAACUGAGACACUUGCUCGAGCAUCUGUGCUAUGUGUUAGCCCAGGUGCUCUUCUAGACAUGAGCCUAGCUGAGGUCCCUGCUCACGUGAAUGCUUAGGAGUCAUGUGCGUUAUGGUCUGAAUCAGCAAUGUCUCCCUCCCAUAGGCGGCUCCUAUGUUUGAACUCCUGGUAUGCAACCGUGAUGCUCUUUUAGAGGGCUCUGGGGCCUGGUUGGUAGAGGGGUCACUGGGGACAAGCCUUUGAAGGUUGGAGCAUGGCCUAUCUCUUUGCUUUCUAGUUGGUAGAAAAGGAGCAAGCCUCUGUCACAUGCUCCCUCUGCUGUCACAGCCGUGUGACCCCGUCUGCCUCGCCAUCAUGUAUAUCCUAUCAAAGCGUGAACCAAAUGAGCUUAUUCCUUUUGUCAGACUGUGGGACUUUUUAAGUUUGCAAAGUGUUUUAUAUUUUGAUGCCAAUAUUCAUGUGUGAUCUUGGGGAUAAAUAAGAAAAGGUUGUAGCUUAACAGGAACGUAUUUGUGUGUCGAGUUGAAAUGGAGUCAAUUGUGCUGACUAGUUUUGUGUCAACUUGACACAAGCUGAAGUCAUCUGAGAGGAGGGAGCCUCAAUUAAGAAAAUGCCUCCAUAAGAUUGGCUUUAUUCAAGCCUGGAGGGCAUUUUCUGAGUUAGCAACUGAUGUGGGAGGCCUAGCCCAUUGAGGACGGUACCAUCCUUGGGCGGAUAGUCUUGGGUUCUAUAAGAAAUCAGGCUGAGCAAGCUAUGAGGAGCAAGCCAUGGCCUCUGCAUCAGCUCCUGCCUCCAGGUUCCUUCUCUGUUGGGGUUCCUGUCCUGACUUCCUUUGAUGAUGGAGUAUGAUGUAAAGGUGUAAGCCAAAGAAACCCUUUCCUCCUCAACUUGCUUUUGGUCAUGGUGUUUCAUCGCAGCAGCAGUCAGCCUGACUAGGACACUCCCUUAAGUUGUCCUGUAAGGUACGUGUUGUCAGGGCAACAAGAGGAGUGCUAAGAAUCCUGAGUGAGGGGACCUGCAGAUGAUUCCAGCUCUGAGCUAUCAAUUUGAGGUCAUUUGAGGUCCCAGACAUCAGAACAGAGAAAGGCAAAAUGUGGGUCUCUGUUAAUCUUUUUUUGUUACUAUAAUAAAAUUCCAGAAGCUGGUUAACUAUAAAGAAAAUAAUCCUCUUUAGUUCACAGUUUUGGAGGCUAAAAUGUUCCAGACUAGAUGGCCGCCUUUGUUUAGCUUCUUCUGCCGGCCUCAUGGUUGGUGGUGUCACGGGACAGGAAGGAAAUGAUCACAUCAGGAAAGUGGAGGGGGAUUGUACUAGUUACUUUUCAGUUGUGUGGGUUAAACACCGGAUCAAGGCAACUGAUAGAAGGAAGUGUUUAUUUGAGCUGAUGGUUCCGGGGGACAGGAGUCCGUUUUGGCAGGGAAGCAUGGCAGCCAGCAGCAGAUAGGGACAGAACGAGAAACUGAGAACUCAUGUCCUCAAACAAAAGCACAAAGGCAGGAGCCAACCGGAAGUCGGGUGAGGCAAUGUACCCUCAAAGCCUCCCCCAGUGGAAGGCCACAACUCCUAAACCUCCCCAAACAUCACCACGCAGUGGGAAUGAAGUAUCCACAUGCCUGUGCCUAUGGGGGACAUUUUUUAUUGUAACCACUGCAGCGACUCAAGAAUUAAACACACUCUUGUGAUACUUCACUUUAAUGUGGGUCACAGAAUAACUUUAAGUCCUUUCCAAGGGCGUAUCUCAAUGAAGUAGGGACCUCCCAUGAGGCCCCACAUUUUACUGUCUCAACACUGGGGAUCAGGCAUCCAGCAUAUAAACCCUUGGCUGACAAAUCCUAUAUAACCAUAGUGUGGACACAUAUUAAAAGUGUUGUUUUUUUAAAAUAUAUUUUUACUGAAAAUUUUUCCAUGCAAUGUAUUCUGACCAUGGUUUCCUCUCCCCCAAUUUCUCUCCAGUGCUCCACCCCCUGACUCCAUGGCAUUUCUUUAUCUCUCUCUUUAGAAAAAAUAAACAUGCAAAAACAAACAAACAAACCAGAAUAAAAUAAAUAAAUAAAUAAAAGGGAUGUCACAAUGUGAGCAUUACACUCCCUCCAGUUCACGUGUUUAAAGGUCUCUGUGACUGUGAGAGUGCUAGGAUGCAGGGCUUUAGGAGAUGGUUUAGGCUCCAGGCUGCAGCCCUCAUGAAGGGCUUUUGUUACCUUAUAAAAAGGCUGGAGGAAGCUCCCUGGGUUCUCUUGUCCUUGUCCCUUCUGUCACUUGAGGACACAGCCCAUCUUGGAAGCAGAGAACAGCCCUCAUCAGCCACUAGGUCUCCUAUGCCUUGACCUGGGACAGCCCCACCACCAGAACCAAGAGGAAUACAUUCCUAUUACUUAUAAAUCAGGCUGGUGAGAUGUCUCAGUAGGUAAGGGCAUUUGCUACCAUGUUGACAAUGUUGGGACCCACAUGACGGAAGAGAAAACUGACUCCCACAAACUGUCCUCAGACAUCCAUGGGGGUGUCAUAGUUCACAAGCUUAUGCAUGCAUGAAUGCCCACACUAAAUAAAUAUUAAAACUUUAAAAAUAAAUCAAUUACUCUGUCUAUGGUAGUUUGUUAUAGCAGCACAAAUGCAAGUGCCAGGGCUGAUUAGGCCACAGGGUGAGUGCAAGGCCAGCCUGAGCAACACUGAGGCCCUGUCUCAAGGUAAAAAGUAAAGAGAACUAGGGCUAGAAUCCAGAUGGAGAGCGCUUGCUGAGCAUACACAAUACACAGGGUUCAGUCUCCAGCACUACAAUAAACCAACCAGCCAACCAGUCAACCAGUCAGCCAGCCAACCAACUAACCAGCAAGCCAGCUAACCAACCAACCAACCAACCAGCAAGCCAGCCAGUCAACCAACCAACCAACCAACCAACCAACCAACCAGCCAGCCAGCCAGCCAAUCAAUCAACCAACCAGCAGCCAGCCAACCAACCAACCAACCAACUAACCAACCGACCAGCCAAUCAACCAAACUAACCAACCAACCAAUCAGUCAACCAACUAAACCAUCCAAACAGCUAGCUAGCCAAUCAACCAGCCAAGCAACCAACCAACCAGACAGACAGACAACCAACCAGCCAACCAACCAACCAAGCAGCUAGCCAGCCAAGCAACCAAGCAACCAGCCAGCUAGCCAGCCAGCCAAUCAACCAACCAGUCACCAACCAACCAACCAAUCAACCAACCAAACCAGCCAACCAAGAGACAAAAUGACUAACAACAGACUGUUCCCGAUCACUUUCUUUGUCUGGGUAAAUCAAAGGGUACCUUGCAUAUCCAUUGAUCUUUGCUGAAGCUAGGGUUAAAGUGAUCUCUUCCCCUGCCACCCAUAAGACACUGGACAGUGGCUCUAGGACCAACAAACACAGCCCCUGAUGAACACAAUCUGCCUUCCCACUUUCAACAAAUAUCAAGAGUAUUUUUUGUCUUUGACAAACCAAAUGAAGUUAAAUCUCUUUGGGGGUAUUACAGCUAAAUGUCACCGCUUUUCCUGAGUCCUGUAAUUAAAGUCUGUAGCCUCA